rnacentral:tRNA from 1 species
UCCCUGGUGGUCCAGCAGCUAAGACUCUGUGCUCCUGAUGCCGAGGGCCUGGGUUCAAUCCCUGGUCAGGGAA